rnacentral:rRNA from 1 species
CACGCCGUAAACGAUGAGUACUAAGUGUUGGAGAAAUUCAGUGCUGAAGUUAACAUAUUAAGUACUCCGCCUGAGUAGUACGUUCGCAAGAAUGAAACUCAAAGGAAUUGACGGGACCCCGCACAAGCGGUGGAGCAUGUGGUUUAAUUCGAAGCUACGCGAAGAACCUUACCAGGGCUUGACAUGGCAUUAAAGGCUCUAGAGAUAGAGAGAUAGUGAUAGUGCACACAGGUGG